GAGGGUCAUUCCCAUAAAUUUUGUUGUUCUUCACUCAUCAUCACUCACUCUGUCGCACAGCAAAGAUCCACUCUGUAGCAGACAGAAGCAACCUCUGGUGCGCAAAAAUGGCGAUGAAGAACACUUCAUCAUCACUAUCUUCAUCUCUCCCAUGUUCAAUUCCUUCUAUUUUCCUCACUUUCUCUCUCCUCUGCACCCUCUCUUUCAUCUUCUUCAGCAGACCCACCUUCAUCACCGGCAACCCCACUUCAAUUUCUCAAAUCACCCUCCAAAAUCCCAUAAAUUCCCUCAAAGUAUACAUUUUCGACCUACCCAGAUCCCUCAAUUACGGACUUCUGGAGAAAUACUGGUCUUUACCCCCAGAUUCUCGGAUCCCCAAUGACCCGGAUCACGAACCCGGAUCAAAUCGGAUUCCAGGAAACCUCAAAUACCCACCUUACCCAGAAAACCCAUUGAUAAAACAGUAUAAUGCUGAGUAUUGGAUGUUGGGUGAUCUUAUGACUCCUCAGAAAUUGCGAAGUGGGUCCUUUGCAAUUAGGGUUCUUGAUUCAGAAGAAGCGGAUGUGAUUUUUGUGCCGUUUUUCGCAACUUUGAGUGCUGAAAUGCAGCUGAGUUUGGAUAGAAGUGUUUUCAAGAAGAAAACUGGGAAUGAAGAUUAUAAGAGGCAGAGGGAGGUUUUGAAUCUUGUCAAAAGUUCUGAUGCUUGGAAAAAAUCUGGUGGGCGUGAUCAUGUUUUUGUUCUAACAGACCCUGUUGCGAUGUGGCAUGUCAAAGACGAGAUUUCCCCAGCCAUACUCCUUGUUGUAGACUUUGGUGGGUGGUCUAGACUUGACACAAAAUCAUCCCACGGCAAUUCAUCGGAGAGGAUUCAACAUACGCAAGUUUCUUUGCUGAAGGAUGUGAUUGUUCCAUACACACAUCUGCUCCCUGUAUUGCGCUUAUCAGAAGACCAGCCACGGGAUAUCCUUCUUUACUUUAAAGGAGCUAAACAUAGGCACGGGGGAGGUGUAGUUCGAGAGAAAUUAUGGGACUUGCUUGUAAAUGAACCACGGGUGGUCAUGGAGGAAGGUUUCCCGAACGCCACUGGUAAAGAGCAAUCAAUUAAAGGCAUGAGAACCUCUGAGUUCUGCUUACAUCCUGCUGGAGAUACACCAACAUCAUGCCGCCUUUUUGAUGCCAUUCAAAGUCUAUGUAUUCCUGUCAUAGUCAGUGACACCAUUGAAUUACCAUUUGAAGGGUUAAUUGACUAUUCAGAGUUCUCAGUUUUUGUGUCAGUAAAUGAUGCACUGCAACCAAAAUGGAUGGUAUCUCAUCUUCAAAGCAUUUCUAAGAAGCAGAAAGAGAAACUUCGUAGAAACAUAGCUCGAGUUCAGCCUAUGUUCGUGUAUGAUAAUGGCUAUCCUGGCGGUAUUGGUCCGGUCCCACCAGAUGGUGCAGUGAAUCAAAUCUGGAAAAAAGUUUACCAAAAGCUGCCAAUGGUUAAGGAAGCUAUUGUUCGAGAUAGAAGGAAACCAAAUGGUGUAUCGAUUCCGCUUCGCUGCCAUUGUACCUGAUGUUUAUGAAAGGGUGGCCAAUACCCCUUCUUCGAGUAGGAAACACAACAAACAAAACACUUACUACAAAUCCAACCACCAAUGGAACAGUAUUAGUCACUUUUCUUGGAAUUGCAGGAUCUGAAGCUAUCAGUUAUGGAGAAGAAGAUGCAGGAAACUGAACAAAGUGCCCAGAAACUGCCCAUUAACCAUCUGUCUAAAUUACUGCAGUUGCCAUCAUUUGUGAGGAGGGGUGCAAAGAUGGUGAAGGCUAAAAUGGUAAAACUAGGUAGAAGAACGUUGAGUCUGGCGGUACCGCUAAGAAUGGCGUUGAGAAUAUACAUGCAAUGUCGUUCAUCAAUGCCAUCAUCAGAUUCAUCAGCUGCAAGUAGAGCUGUGUUGAUUGAUUCAUCCAUUUUUUUGGGGGGAGGAAAUGGUAGUUUUGUUUACAUGUAAUUGCAUAGGCAUAAGUUGUCCAUUUUUAAAGGCUUAAUCUUAAAGAAGAAUGUUUGCUUUCUGCUGAA